GUGAAUCAUCGAAUCUUUGAACGCACAUUGCGCUCCCUGGUAUUCCUCGGAGCAUGCCUGUUUGAGUAUCAUGAGACUCUCAAAGUAAAUCUUUUGUUAAUUCAAUUGGUUUUGCUUUGGACUUGGAGGUUUUUUGCAGAUUUAUCUUCUGCUCCUCUUAAAUGUAUUAGCUGGAUCUCAGUAUAUGCUCGGUUCCACUCGGCGUGAUAAGUAAUCACUCGCUGAGGACACUUUGUAAAAAAAGGUGGCCGGGAAAUACAGAUUGAACCGCUUCUAACGGUCCAUUUGCUUGGACAAUAA
rnacentral:misc_RNA from 1 species